AAUCAGUUUGGGGAAUCUCAAUGAACUUGUACCUCUCUUUCCCACAAUUAUAGCUAAAUGUCGGUCUACAACCCUUGCUCCAAUUCUGUGGAUCAACCAUCUCGAAUCCAGGAGGACACGAACAACGAAGUUCUGGCUGUAUAUACGGAGGUUGCCAUCAUAGUCAAGAGUCAGUCUUCUCUUGAUCCCGAGACCAAAAUCAGAAGCCUGUACUGUAAGAGCAUCACUUGAGAAGAAACCGCCUUUGUCAUCGAGGACUGCAAGCCUGGAGUUGUUCUUGACUUUGAUGCCAUCCCGGAACAUGGUGUAAUCAUCAUUUGGCCAGUAGAUGCUUGAGAACUCAGGUAGCAAGGUAUCCGUUGGGGAAGUGAAGCUUUCCCACAAGAUUGUGCCGCUUGAAUCUCUGACCACAAGGUUUCCACUCUCCAGCAGCGCAGCCGUCGACCCCUCGCCUGCACUCAUGGUGCUCGUCCAGACCGUGGAACCAUUGACAUCGAUCAGGACCAGGUAGCCAUCAUCAUGCA